rnacentral:rRNA from 1 species
AGAGUUUGAUCCUGGCUCAGAAUCAACGCUGGCGGUGUGCCUAACACAUGCAAGUCGAACGAGAAAGUGGAGCAAUCCAUGAGUAAAGUGGCGACCGGGUGAGUAACACGUGACUAACCUACCUUCGAGUGGGGGAUAACCUCGGGAAACCGGGGCUAAUACCGCAUAAUGCCUUCGGGUUAAAGGAGCAAUUCGCUUGAAGAGGGGGUCGCGGCUGAUUAGCUAGUUGGCGGGGUAACGGCCCACCAAGGCGAUGAUCGGUAGCCGGCCUGAGAGGGCGCACGGCCACACUGGAACUGAAACACGGUCCAGACUCCUACGGGAGGCAGCAGUGGGGAAUUUUGCGCAAUGGGGGAAACCCUGACGCAGCAACGCCGCGUGGAGGGCGAAGUCCUUUGGGACGUAAACCCCUUUCGACCGGGACGAUUAUGACGGUACCGGUGGAAGAAGCCCCGGCUAACUUCGUGCCAGCAGCCGCGGUAAUACGAGGGGGGCAAGCGUUGUUCGGAAUUAUUGGGCGUAAAGGGCGCGU